GAGCUUGCUCUGGUGGAUUAGUGGCGAACGGGUGAGUAACACGUGAGUAACCUGCCCUUGACUCUGGGAUAAGCGUUGGAAACGACGUCUAAUACCGGAUACGAGCUGAGACCGCAUGGUCAUUAGCUGGAAAGAAUUUCGGUCAAGGAUGGACUCGCGGCCUAUCAGGUAGUUGGUGAGGUAACGGCUCACCAAGCCGACGACGGGUAGCCGGCCUGAGAGGGUGACCGGCCACACUGGGACUGAGACACGGCCCAGACUCCUACGGGAGGCAGCAGUGGGGAAUAUUGCACAAUGGGCGAAAGCCUGAUGCAGCAACGCCGCGUGAGGGACGACGGCCUUCGGGUUGUAAACCUCUUUUAGCAGGGAAGAAGCGAAAGUGACGGUACCUGCAGAAAAAGCACCGGCUAACUACGUGCCAGCAGCCGCGGUAAUACGUAGGGUGCAAGCGUUGUCCGGAAUUAUUGGGCGUAAAGAGCUCGUAGGCGGUUUGUCGCGUCUGCUGUGAAAACGCGAGGCUCAACCUCGCGCCUGCAGUGGGUACGGGCAAACUAGAGUGCGGUAGGGGAGAUUGGAAUUCCUGGUGUAGCGGUGGAAUGCGCAGAUAUCAGGAGGAACACCAAUGGCGAAGGCAGAUCUCUGGGCCGUAACUGACGCUGAGGAGCGAAAGCAUGGGGAGCGAACAGGAUUAGAUACCCUGGUAGUCCAUGCCGUAAACGUUGGGAACUAGAUGUAGGGACCAUUCCACGGUUUCUGUGUCGCAGCUAACGCAUUAAGUUCCCCGCCUGGGGAGUACGGUCGCAAGACUAAAACUCAAAGGAAUUGACGGGGGCCCGCACAAGCGGCGGAGCAUGCGGAUUAAUUCGAUGCAACGCGAAGAACCUUACCAAGGCUUGACAUAUAGAGGAAACGUGCAGAAAUGUACGCCCCGCAAGGUCUCUAUACAGGUGGUGCAUGGUUGUCGUCAGCUCGUGUCGUGAGAUGUUGGGUUAAGUCCCGCAACGAGG
rnacentral:rRNA from 1 species